AAAGAGAUAAAUAUACACUUAUACCCCAAUGGUAAAUUAAUGGGUUUAGAGUUAAGGGGUGUGGUUUAGGAUUUAGGGUUUAGGGUUUAGGGUUUAAAGUUUAGAGUUUAGGAGUGGGGUUUAGGGUUUAGGGUUUAGAGUUAAGGGGUGGGGUUUAGGAUUUAAGGUUUAGGAUUUAGGGUUUAAGGUUUAGAGUUUAGAGUUUUGGGUUUAGAGUUUAGGUUUUAGGGUUUAGAGUUGGGGAGUGGGAUUUUGAGAUAAGAUUUCAAAUUUUGAAAAAAAAAAAAAUUAAAUUUUUCAAAAGAUAAAAUGUUAUUUUGGUCAUUUUUGUUUUUGAGGGUUAUUUUUGUGACAUAAACUUAGAAAUGUGCUAUUUUGGAGAUUUGACCAAUUAUAUAUUGUGAAGCACUAGUUUAUCUUUAAUAGAUAAAAUAAAACCAUAUUUAGUUGUGUCUUGCUUGACAAAUGACAAAUGACAAGAACUUGCAGCGUAUCAAUAUUAUUAAAUUAGGAACAUGACCGGUUGAUCAUGUCCAACUGAUUUUUUUUUAUAACAGUAUCUACUUUAAUUAAAUCAAUAACACGUUCUCUUUGUAAUUAAUAAGCAAGUUACGUUUUCUUCCAACACAAAAAUGAGUUUUUGUCGGUUUAUGAUUUUAAAAUAGGGCCAUGGGCCUCGAUUUUUUUUUUUAAAUCAACUGAUUUAUUACAUUUCGUCUGAUUGCAACGAGCCAUAUAAAUUUAUACUGCUUUCUUAACCACAUCUAGGUUUAUGGCUAAUUGAGUUUUAAUAGAAGCAGACUAAUAAUAUUGAUUAUUAAACAAAAUUGCAACUAUACUCGAUUAUUAUCUAUUCUAUUAAAACAGUAACAUGACCGAUUGAUAAAAUGUUAUGUCCAAUUAAAAAAACUAAUUUUUAUAUAACUGAGUUAUAUAACUGCAUCUAAAUGAAUAUAUUUUAAAGUCCUAUUUUAAAGGGAUAACCACUUUAAAUCUUUUUUUUAAAGAACUACGUAUAUGGCAACAAAAAUUUAUAAAAAUAUAUUUUUGUAUUUUUUGUUAUUGGGUGUUUAAAUAAUAAUAUAAACCCUUAUAUAUGGCAACAAAUGUGUAAUACGAAAAAAACCCUUAUACAAUUGGUCAUGUACCAUAAAAAUAUAAACCCUCACAAAGGUUAAAACUAAUGCUCGACAUUAAAAAUACAUUUUGUUACCAUAUAUUUUUGUAUUUUUUUUUUGUUAUUGGGUGUUUAAAUAAAAAUUAUUUUUAGAAUUUUAACCUUUUAUUUGAUUAAUAUAACACAUUGUUUUAUAUAAUUAUGUAUACAGUUAUGUUAUUGACAUAUCUUUCUAUAAUGAUAUGAUAAUUAUUCCUCAUAAUUAUAAUAAAGUUAAAAAUUGUAUGUGAAUAGAGUCUGGAAAUUAUAGGCUAAAAACAUUUUUUGUGUAGAGUAAACAGAAAAGAAAUAUUUCUUAGUCGUCCAUAAUUUUAAAAAAGAUUUACGAAUAACGAAUUAGUCAUCACAUAAAUCUCGGCAUGCGUUUAGAUAAUAUUUAGACCGAUGAACCUGAAACACAAGAAAAUGUAAUAAGUAAACGGAAAAAAAGAAAUAAUUAGACUAAAUUAUAUACAUAUUCCAUGGUGAAUCAAACAGACAACGACGUCAAAUUUAAUACAUUCAAAUUAACUUUUUAAGCUACUCUCGAAUGAGAGGAUCACUGUAGUAUUUAAGGAUCGAAUCUACAUUGAUCGAAGAUCAUGCAAUAAAUUAUUGGUUUCAAGCUAAGCAAAAAGUAGAAAAAAAUUAAACAAAGCAAUAAAAUAGAUUGAUUAUUAACAUAUGAGAAAGUGCAAGAUAGAGAAAUUAAGCAGGUGAUUAAAAAAAUAAUAAUUGGACUUCACCGGUUCUGACCUUCAACCUUGGUAGAUGAUUAGAUUGAUUCUUCAACCUGUUCGGUUUAUAAAGUUAAUAAACAAAAUCACACAUUGGACUUAACCAGUACUGAUAAUCAUCUCUAAUACAUCAUUAGAUUGGCUAUUUAGCCAGUUCGAUUUAUUUAAUAAAUAAAAAAAAUCAGACUUAACUGGUUCUUAAAUAAUUUCUAAGGACUAGAUUGGUACAACUGAUGACAAAACAAUAUUAAUAUGCUGUAGAAUCACAAUGUUCUCAUAAAUGCAAUUAAUAAAAGAGCAACCCCAUUGAGGGUUUUAAACAGGUUCAUGGGCUCAGGUUUUGAGGCCUUUUGGAUAAAAAUAAAUGAGAAAUUGGGUUUAAUUUGGCGAACCGCCUCUUACCUGUGAUCCCGUCCGAUACGGGUUCAGCACAGGUGUCGCAUUCUGAUUGGUGAAGGGGAGUAGAGGUCACGCGCUUGAACGCGGAGAGAGAAUCAUUUCUCUCAUUUUUGCGAGAAAGCUAGGGUUUGCUCUGUGUGGCGAUUUCAUUUGCGACGCCGAGCUCUCACCCAUUUUCUCCCCUUUUCUCGAUCGAUUCGGCGCCGGAUUGUCUCCUCCACGACCAGAGGUGAGUUCCGAGUCGAUUGACGUUUAGAUAUUAGCCUUCUGUUGUCGAUAUCGCCAUUGUGAAUUGUCAAAAGAUUUUAUGAUCUCGGGUUAGGGUUCGAAAUCGAGAUGUGUUUGGAUCUAGGGUUGUAUAACCUCGUCUACGGGUUCUAUUUAUCGAUUAAUGGUCCGAGAUUUGCGGAUUGAAAAUCGAAUAGGGGUUUUCGAAUUAGGGUUAAAAAAAAAUUUGGGGGUUUCGAUUUGUGGUUUGAUAUAUUAAACUGGGUUGGAUAGACGGUUGGUAUGAUCGUAUUUUACAGUUUUUUUGUGCUAAUCAAUUCUUGUUUUGUGCUUUAGAUGGAUCCCGCAGAUGAGAGAACAGAUUGUAAGAGGAAACUGGAGCACAUAAACCUCCUGAGAUACGUUUCCGAUUCGGAACAUGGGAUGCCCAAAAGAUGCGCUUGUGGUGGGAGAAUGAUACACGAGGUUCGAGUGAAGGAUGAGUUCGACACUCAGCCAGGGAAACGCUUCUUUAGCUGUGUAAACUACGAGGUUAGAUACAAACCCUGUUACCCAGUUGAAUUAUUAGAUACAAACCUGUGCUUUACUUCAAUAUUUGGAAUGUGUUGUCUGAUGUGUUUAUUGUUUAACCAAGGCUGAUGGGUUACAUUAUCGUCAGCCUUGGGUUUGUGGUGUGCAGGAGGAGAUCGAAAUGCUGCGUAAGCGUGUGGAGGAGGCUGAUGAGGUGAUCAAGUCGGUGCCAAUGCUGGUUGAGAGUGUCGAGGUUUGUCACUUUGUCUAAGAGUUGAUUUUUUUUUUUAAUUUAGGUUUUUAAAAAGUCAUUUACAACGUUUCUUUUUUUCUUGUGCAGGCACAAGUUAAAAGGCUGAGUUUGCUGCUUGAUAAGCUCACUGGUGACGUGUAUAACCUCACAGUGCAGGUGGCUGCUCUGGAGAGGGUGUGUUUCGAGUGAAAUCCAAACAGGUAAACACAGAAACUAAACCGAAGUAGUUCUUUCCGUGUACUGAUAGGUGUGUUGUUUGCUGUAGUUGAACUGAAACUUAACUAGGAACUCAUCUAGGUUCAUUUAAUAUGUAGAGUAGUAUCUGUACUAGAUUAUAACUAUGAACUCACCUAGGUUAAUUUAAAUGGGUGUUGGUUGGUUGCUGUGAUGAAUGGUCAUUAAAAAUAUUGAUUUGAUGUGUAAUGAAUACAUUUUGUGAACUACUUCAUCUGUAAUUAAGGCUAAUGAAUGUUUGGUAGUUAGAGACACAAAGGAAGUAAAUCCUUUUUAUAGAUACUGAAAACAACCACUGUAAACACAAACCAACUUUUACAAAUCACUCUAACUCACCACGCUCUUGUGAAAACACCCAAAAACCUGAAACCACAAUGGAUCACUUUUCUCUUAAUUCUGUCGGGUUUGUGAACCUAUUAUCUUCCCAGUGCACUCAAACCACUCAAAACACUCAAAACACUCAAAACACUCAAACCACUCAAACCAUAGAUGUAGGGUCCUCAGGUGUUCCUAAACCCGUAGAGAGGAGAAAGUGGACAACACAAGAGGACAUUGUCCUCAUCAGUGCCUGGUUGAACACCAGCAAGGAUCCCAUAGUUAGUAACCAGCAGAAGUUAGGUUCGUUUUGGAAAAGAAUAGAGGAUUAUUUUAAUUCAAGCUCUCAGCNNNNNNNNNNNNNNNNNNNNNNNNNNNNNNNNNNNNNNNNNNNNNNNNNNNNNNNNNNNNNNNNNNNNNNNNNNNNNNNNNNNNNUUCUUUUUUAUCUUAAAAUCAAAUGUAGCCAAAUAAUGUCGUCCUCAUCAUCCGAUGGAGUAGAUGAAGCUUUUGAAGAAUAUUUUGACGAAGAAUUUGAUAAUAUCCUCAACUCCCUACUUGAUGAACAAGCCACCAACCCAAAGAAACGGACUUAUAUCGAAAGAGAUCGGGAACAAGGCCACAUUCAACUAUGGAACGACUAUUUUGACGAAAAUCCUACUUACACAACGGACAUGUUUAGGCGGCGUUUUAGAAUGAACAAACCAUUGUUCCUUCGCAUUGUCGAGCGGCUAACUACAGGUGUUCCGUACUUUCAGCACCGAGUAAAUGCUCACGGAAGGAAAGGGCUCUCACCACUUCAAAAAUGUACGGCAGCUAUACGUAUGCUCGCAUAUGGUCAAUCGGGAGAUACGUAUGACGAAUAUCUCCGACUCGGUGAAAGUACUGCUCUUUUAUGUUUGGAACAUUUUACUAAUGGGAUAAUACACUUUUUUGGUGAUGAGUAUCUAAGAAUACCUACGGCAGAAGAUCUUCAACGAUUACUCGAUAUUGGAGAGGCACGCGGGUUUCCCGGGAUGAUUGGCAGCAUUGAUUGUAUGCAUUGGGAGUGGAAAAACUGCCCAACGGCUUGGAGAGGGCAGUACACACGAGGUUCAGGAAAGCCGACAAUUGUCUUAGAGGCUGUGGCAUCAGAAGAUCUUUGGAUAUGGCACGCAUUUUUCGGAUUACCAGGUACCCUUAACGAUAUCAAUGUUCUUGAUCGGUCUCCUGUUUUUGAUGACAUUAUAAAAGGUCGAGCACCUAAAGUUAAAUUCAAGGUCAACAACCACACUUACCGUAUGGCGUACUACCUUACUGACGGAAUUUAUCCAAAUUGGUCGACAUUUAUCCAAUCUAUCUCACUUCCUCAAGGUGAGAAAGCAGAGCUGUUUGCUAAACAUCAAGAAUCCACCAGAAAAGAUGUCGAACGAGCUUUUGGGGUAUUGCAACCGAGGUUUGCAAUAGUCAAAAACCCAGGCCGGCUAUGGGACAAGAAAACGUUAGGGAAGAUUAUGAGAUGUUGUAUCAUAUUGCACAAUAUGAUUGUGGAGAACGAACGAGGCAAAUACAGUCUAACUGAUACUUCUCAGUUCGAGUCAGGAGAGUCGAGCAGAGGUUCGAAGGUCACAAGGCGAGAAAGUUUGCAUUCCACUAACAUGCUAGGCAUGCGCAAUGAAGUUCGAGAUUCAGGAAAACAUGAACGUUUGAAAGCUGAUUUAGUUGAAAAUGUAUGACAAACAUUUGGAAACGAUCAAUAAUCUUUGUAUGUUCAUCAAUUAUCAAUUAUCAAUGUAAUGAAUAAAUUUUAUUUAAAAAAUUUAUUGCAUAAUAUUUUAUACAUGUUUUCAAACUAAUUUCAAAACAAAAAAAAAAUUAAAAAAAAUAUUAUUUAAUUCCUGUGAACCCCUUCUCAGGUUCACUAAUGCAGAAGCACAAUACUAAGAGGUUCAACACUAUUCAUGACCCCACCUAAAAAAUAUUAAAAAAAUCCUAUGAACCCCAAAUGGGGGUUCACUAAUGUGGAUGCUCUUAUAUACGUAAAUAGUAACUUGGAUCAAUAAAAUCAUUAUAUUUCUUUUUUUUUAAAGAAGAAUAUUCUAUUUUGUGGUCGCUAUAAUCUUCCAAUAUCUAACGCAACCCAUAUCAUUGGGUCAUCUAAUUGUAUAUAUCCAAUCUGAAAUAUUACGAGUCUGAAUAUAUUUGAAUCAUAUUCAUAUAUUUAAAUAUAUUAAUUAUUUUUAGAUUUAAUAUACAAAAAUUAUCCAAAAUAUAUAAGAUAUUUUGAAAUUGUCCAAUCUAAAAUAGCUAAAAAAUAUUCAAAACUCCAAAAAUACUUAAAAUAUAUAUUGAUUCUCUGUCUAGAUAUUCAUGUCAAAACAAUUUUAUGUUAAACUUAAAUAUUUUGGCAUAUAAUAUUCAAAUUCAUAUGUUAUAUAUUAAUUUUAUUUUAAAAUUUGGAAAAAUUAAAAUAUAUCAAAAUUUUAAACUUUUACAAAAUAAUUUACGGGUUAUCUGAAUCUGAACCAAACCCACAGAGAUUCGAACCGUGUAUAUAUAGUAUAUGACGAGAGGAAAUGAGUAAGAGUCUAGACAGUUCUUUGUUAUCUUGUUUUUUAUCAUCUAUCCAGAACAUUGGAGAAGACGAAAGAGGGGUCACUCAAAAACUCACAAUCCAAAUAAAUCCGAACCAAACCAAAUUGGGGACCCGAAUCCGAAUGAAUACCAACAUCGUAUAAAUAUAUUUGAAAAAGAUAACCAAUCAUAUUUGAUUUAUAAAAAUAAAACAAACACCCGAGCGGGUGCGCGGAUCAAAGUCUAGUAUAAAUUAAAAUAUAAGACUAAGUACCUAAAAUUAACAUAAAACUGGUUUGUUGAAUAUUUAGGUGGAAAUCAGGUAAGUAUUUUAAAUAUUUUCUGUGUUUUGAAUACUUUGGCUAUUUUCAAAAUGUUAUUUGUAGCUAUCUUCAAAUAAAUUAGAUAUUUUCAUAUAAUUUAAAUAUAUUAUAGAUAUGUUACUUAAAAAUAAAUAAUAUAUAUAAGUAUAUAGUUGUGAUCCAGAUAUAUUCGAAUUUUUAAACUAAUGACAAAUAAAUAUUUGGAUUGUGGCGUUUCAGUUCUUCAAAUAUUAAAAUUUUUAUAUGUUUAGUAUUUCAAAUAUCCCCUAUAUAUUAAUUGAGAAGCAUUUGAAAAAUUAGAACCUUAAUUUUGUAUUAAUUAAAAAAAACUCCAAAUCCUAGGUGACACUCUAAAUGCCUUCUAAAUUCAAUUUCAAAGAAUUCUAGAGCAUCUAAUAUAAAGUAUAGUUUAAUCUAAUGGUGUCACAUUAUUCCAUAAUUAUAUAACACUAUAGAACAUUAUAUUAACCUAAAAUAUAAGAAAUGUGUAUUCUUUCCUUAAAUAAAAGCUACGGAAUUACCUAAUAUGAUUUACAUAUAUAUGGCAAUUAAUGAUUAUGAAUAAUAAAGAUUUGAUAACAAUUUUUGCAUCAUUCUUCAUUUUUUUUAAUUUUAUAUUAUUAAAAAAAUAAACAAUCACAUUAACCAUAUAAUAAAAAAAUUAGAUUUUUUCUUAUAUGUUAUAUUUUGAAUUUUUUAAAAUAAUUUUAAAUUAAAAAAAUGAGAAAACCUUAUAUGUUAUAUUUUUUUUAAAACGACUUUAAAAUACAAAAAUGAGGACACCUUAUAUGUUAUAUUUUUCUUAUAUGUUAUAUUUUUUCUUAUAUGUUAUAUUUUGAAUUUUUUAAAACGACUUUAAAUUACAAAAAUAUAAGUUUUCCUUAAGUAUACGACUAAAAACUUUCUUAUAUGUUAGACUUUUUCUUAUAUGUUAUAUUUUGAAUUUUUUAAAACGACUUUAAAUUACAAAAAUGUAAAUUUUCCUUAAGUAUACGACUAAAAACAUUAAAAUGACAUGUAUCAAUUCGAUGGUUGAUUUGAAAGCUUUCAAAACCAUAUGAAAGAUAAAAGUCAAAAUAAUUCAACUGUGAAAACAACACUGUUCACUUUUUUCAAAAAUGUGUUCGAUGAAAAAAAUAAGGUUUUUAUGUCAUAAUUUGUUUAAUGUCCAAUCCGAUCAACCCAUGAUGUAUUAAUUAUAGUUUUGUUCCAUCAUUUUUAAUAAAAAUUGAUUUGAUCCAUCGGAAAGAAAUUAUAUAAUAACAACAAAAAAUAUUGUAUAUAUAUAUAAAUAAAAUGAUCAAAUAUAUAAAAAAAAUUAUCGAUAAUAUAUAGAAAUAAAUUCACCCUGCGCAAGGCGCAUGUAUUAUUAAAAUAUUAUAAGGUUAGACAUGAUUCAGUUCUUUUCUUCGGAUAUUCAAAACUUGAAUAAUCACCUUAAAUAUUUAAUUACAUGUUUCCUAGUAUGAUAUAUAAAAGACUUGAACAUCAACAAAAAUUAACCAACGAAAUGAGUUUGGAUUCUAAAUAAGUUUUAAACGUAAUUAUAAAUUGUACUUGCACCUGAAAUAUUAUUAACCGAAUAGGACCUAAAAUGUAAAACCAUAACAAAACUAACGAGGCUAAAUCUGAAAAUUCAGAAACGUGAUCCAAAUGGAUUUCCUAACAAUAUAAUCCAAUUUUGUACAAACUUUAGACUUUAUGAAAACCAACCUGCUUAAUUCAGUUAUACUUCAGAGCCUUACUAGCGAUGUAAAUCGAUAAGCGUUUGAUUUAUCUUUGGUUUGAGAUCUUAUAAGCGUUUGUUUACAGUACUAAAUCAAACUUUAAUACAUGAAUUUAUGAAGUAUAAAGCCCAGUUUGAUUUGAAUUUUUGGCUCAUGAAAACCAAAACUCAGUUACACGGGGUUUGGUUUUGAGUCUUGUCGGAUUCAUUAAGUACUACUACUCCACAGUCUACAUUUAUUCAAACUUUAGGCUAAUGAAAACCAAAAGCCGGUUCACACCGGUAUAAACUUCAGAGCUUGCUAGUGAUAUUGAUAUUCCGUACUUUAGAGGAUUUGGGUGAUGUGUCUUUGGGAACGACCACCGUGAGGAGACCGUUAUCCACGUAGGCUUUUAUUUGGUCGGUUUUCACAUUUUCCGGCAACUCAAUCCGUCGGAGAAACUCUCCUUUACUGGAAAAAGCUUCUCUCUCCGCCACAUGCCACACCAAAUCCUCUUUCUUUUCUUUCUCUUCCUUCUUCAGUCCUUCUCCUUUAAUGCUUAGAACGUUUCCUUCUUCAAUUUGCACUUUUAUGUCUUCUUUAUUGUAUCCUAAUAACAAAAUAAUCCAUGGAAUGUUGUUUAGGUUAAGAAAAUAGUCUAAAAAUAAAAAAAAACAACCCUAAAUCAUAGAAGAAAACUAUCUGAAAAACAUAAUAAAAUAUGAAUUUUAACUUUUUAAGCUCUAAAACUAAAAUGAAAUUAUAAUUCCAUAAACAAGAAGACCGUAGUUGCAGACAUCAUUUAAUUUUGACAUAAUUGUAUACUAGUCUCUUGAACCAUUUUUAUUAUAUUCGAUUUUCCCUUACAAAAACAAAAAACUGUCACUAAACUUUUGAAAAUUAAAACUGAGUGUCGUAAAAUUCCUCAAAUUUGUUUUAAAUUACCAGAAUAAGUUAUCCAAAUUACACACCAUUACUUAUCAUGAAUUUGACACAUACCCUUAGUGAAAAUUUCAAAUAAUUUGUUUAUUUAUUUUUACCUGGAACGUUAACUUUGAAGAAAUGAGCGUUUGGAGAAAUGAGCGUUUGGAGAAAAAGACAAAAUAGCACUAAAUCAAAUUUUUGUUUCCAAACUAGCACUCAAAGUCAAAAGUCACAAAAAUAGCACUUAAUGUUUUAUCAAAAGUCACAAACUUAGGGUUUAGAGUUAAAGGGUGGAGUUUAGGAUUUAGGGUUUAGGGUUUAGGGUUUAGGGUUUAGGGUUUAGAGUUUAGGAUUUAGGGUUUAGAGUUUAGGGUUUAGAAUUGAGAAAUGAGGUUUUGGGGAUAAGAUAUAAACUUAGAAAAGUGUUAUUUUGGUCAUUUUAGUUUUUGAGUGCUAUUUUUGUGAUAUAAACUUAGAAAUGUGCUAUUUUGGACAUUUGCCCUAAUAAUUUGUUUAUUUAUUU
rnacentral:lncRNA from 1 species